UCUCAACUCGAUGAAAUUGAAUUACAUAACGGAUACUUGUGUAAUUAUAACACAAUAGGGAAAGAACCUCCGCCAUUGCAACAUAUAUACCCCAUAGCGUUCAGCGACAACUGAACAA
rnacentral:snoRNA from 1 species